UCUCCAGGUAGAGGCAGGGAGAUCUCCAGUAAUGGAAUUUGGCGAAUCCUGUCUUGUGGCCCCAUUUAUCAACCUUCUAGAUAAACCCUAAGAGUCAUCAUGUGCUUUUUACCGCAGAGGCCAUCCUUGUGGGGAUGAAUUUGUGUCUUUGCCACUGAGCAAAAUCCCAUUUUAAAUUCAAGGUAAUCAGACGCUUUCAGGAUGUGGAUUUUUCCGAAGAUUUUUAGAAGACACGUUCCCUGUGAAAGCAGAGAUUUCUCCACACUUUCGGUCUCAGCCUUUGUCCAGCCUCACUAUGCAGUGUAUGUAUCACCUUCUGAACUAAAGAAGCAGUUCACACUUGACCUAGAACUUGAAGUUACCUGUGACCACUACUUAUAAAAAUCUUACUACUGGAUAUAACAAAAGAAUUUCAUUGUCUGAACAGAGAUGACACGAAAUGGAAAGCCCAGAUCUCCAGAAAGAAAUGAAGAGAACCAGAAAAGAAAAAUGUGAAAUUUGCAGGACCUUAGUUCCCUGACCAGGGACUGAACCCAGGCCCUCAGCAGUGAAAGCACAGAGUCCUAACCACUGAACCACCAGGGAAUUCUUGGUGCUUUAUUUCAAGUCCAUGCCAUCUAAAUCUACUGAGUACAGUAACCGGGACUGGAGAGGGGAUGUAUUAGAACCUAAACAACAACAACGACACCGGGACGUUCACCCCUUGCACUGCGAGUCUUAGUCCAGAGCACAGCUCCAGAACCGGGGACGCCACCGCCCUGACCCUGUCCAGGCCUUAACUGAGAGAGAUGAAGGUGCCGGAGGGAGAACGGAGCAUGAAGCCUGCUUCUCAGGGAGGAGACUGGCUUGCCAGCGCACGGAUUCUAGUGAAAAGUUCAUAAUAAAUUGCAUCAGUAAAUCUGGAUUUGAGCCACUGCUCUCUGCCAUCAUCUUAAAAGUCAUGGAGGACAACUGUACGUAAGAGGAGGGCAUGGCACUGUGCUGGGACCCCCUGCAGCAGCUGCAGCCUCAGCUGGGACAGGAGAGGAGGCAGACGACUGUUACCGACUGUGACACCAGAGUCCCUUGCUGCAGCGCCCUUCUGGCUGAGCGUGAGGUCUCCCAGGAAGGCGCGUCUACCUGGACUUGAAUGGCGCUGUCUCCACUGGCAGUCACAGAAGUCACAGAACCUUAUCAGGAGGUUCUUGACCACGAGGUGGACAGAGAAAGGCUGCCCCUCUCGACUCCACCUAAAGUAGGCAUCAUAGAGAUCUUUCCCAAAACUCUAAAGUAUUUUAACUUUCAGUUAAAAUUAUGAUGUGAUCCAAAGAGGGUUGUGGGGAGGUACAUUAGA